rnacentral:rRNA from 1 species
UACGGAGGAUGCAAGCGUUAUCAGGAAUGAUUGGGCGUAAAGCGUCCGCAGGUGGCUGUGUAAGUCUGCUGUCAAAGAGAGAAGCUCAACUUCGUAAAGGCAGUGGAAACUACACGGCUAGAGUGCGUUCGGGGCAGAGGGAAUUCCUGGUGUAGCGGUGAAAUGCGUAGAGAUCAGGAAGAACACCGGUGGCGAAGGCGCUCUGCUAGGCCGCAACUGACACUGAGGGACGAAAGCUAGGGGAGCGAAUGGG